rnacentral:rRNA from 1 species
UACGGGGGGGGCAAGCGUUGUUCGGAAUUACUGGGCGUAAAGGGCCAGUAGGCGGCCAACUAAGUCGGAUGUGAAAUCCCCAGGCUCAACUUGGGAACUGCAUCCGAUACUGGAUGGCUUGAAUUCGGGAGAGGGAUGCAGAAUUCCAGGUGUAGCGGUGAAAUGCGUAGAUAUCUGGAGGAACACCCGUAGCGAAGGCGGCACUCUGGGCCGAUACUGACACUGAGGAGCGAAAGCGUGGGGAGCGAACAGG